UGUUACGUCGUGUGGUCGCACAUGGGCUACAACCUAGGCUAGGCCUUGCAUGCAACCUAGCUGGAGUCAUGUCUGCCUCGCCCUGAGGGGCAUCUGAUUCUAUCCAAUGGUUGCGUUCACUUUGGUAAUGUAUAAAAGCUGUGAUUUUCUUCAUACCAUGUAAACCCUAGUUCAUUUCUAUUUUGCCUCGACCAUGCGGUCUCCACUCUUUCCCUCUUCUUCUCGAUCUCUAGUGAGAGCACCAUGUGACCUCUCGCUGGCAUACGCACUCCCCUCUAGGUGAAUGUGCUUCCAUCAAGGGGCCCCGUGGCGGUGUUGUGGAAUCUUGUGGCAGUGUCCUGGUCGUCAGAGAUGGCCCUCUUCUCUAUCCUUAUCGUCGAUGAUGAACAAGUCUUAGAAUGGAGUGGGCACUUGGAUGUUGGUCUGACGACGACUUUACUUGAAACAAAUACUUUCGUUCCAUGACCAAUCGUUCUGGCCUGUCGUGGUUAUAUAUAAUUGAGUUUGCCGGUGUACCUACCAAAUCCAUUGUUUACUACUCGGCAACGAGUACCUUAUGGCAAGAUAAGCAUCAGUACGUAUAUUAUGGUUGAGUUGUACCUAAUUUGCAUUCCUCAUUAACAAGUCAAAAACUGUUGAGGUUGACUUUGUACUGGUGAACAAACAAGGGUGAGUCAGACGCAACAACAUAUGGCCCGGACAAAACCACCUCUAUAUGAGUGGUAGCAGGAUAAAUUUUUGCUCACGAAGAUCACACUUCUUUGUCUCCGAUCCUGUUGACGAUUAUUCCCUACUUGAAGGAUGCCUAGCUUGCACUCACUCUCGCGUACCUGGAGAGGUUUGCCCUGUUUCUAUAAACACGUUUUAUGCAGUGACGAAGGGCGAGAACAUGUAUCUCUAGGCAUUUGCAGUAGUUAAAACCCUAGCCAUUCAAUUACAAAGCACGCAUCCCAUUUUCGACGGUCAA